rnacentral:rRNA from 1 species
UACGGGAGGCAGCAGUGGGGAAUAUUGCACAAUGGGCGAAAGCCUGAUGCAGCUAUGCCGCGUGUAUGAAGAAGGCCUUAGGGUUGUAAAGUACUUUCAUCGGGGAGGAAAAAACAAAACUAAUAAUUUUAUUUCUUGACGUUACCCGAAAAAGAAGCACCGGCUAACUCCGUGCCAGCAGCCGCGGUAAUACGGAGGGUGCUAGCGUUAAUCAGAAUUACUGGGCGUAAAGAGCACGUAGGUGGUUUUUUUAAGUCAGAUGUGAAAUCCCUGGGCUUAACCUAGGAACUGCAUUUUGAAACUGAAAUACUAGAGUAUCGUAGAGGGAGGUAGAAUUCUAGGUGUAGCGGUGAAAUGCGUAGAUAUCUGGAGGAAUACCUGUGGCGAAAGCGGCCUCCUAAACGAAUACUGACACUGAGGUGCGAAAGCGUGGGGAGCAAACAGGAUUAGAU